rnacentral:rRNA from 1 species
UACAGAGGUCUCAAGCGUUGUUCGGAUUCAUUGGGCGUAAAGGGUGCGUAGGUGGCGCCGUAAGUCAGGUGUGAAAUUUCGGAGCUUAACUCCGAAACUGCAUUUGAUACUGCGGUGCUUGAGGACUGGAGAGGAGACUGGGAACUUCCGGUGGAGCGGUGAAAUGCGUAGAUAUCGGGAAGGAACGCCGGUGGCGAAAGCGGCACGCUGGAUCCCUCCGUGA